rnacentral:rRNA from 1 species
UACAGAGGGGGCAAGCGUUGUUCGGAAUUACUGGGCGUAAAGGGCGCGUAGGCGGCCUGUUAAGUCGAAUGUGAAAUCCCCGGGCUCAACCCGGGAACUGCGUCCGAUACUGGAAGGCUUGAAUCCGGGAGAGGGAUGCGGAAUUCCAGGUGUAGCGGUGAAAUGCGUAGAUAUCUGGAGGAACACCGGUGGCGAAGGCGGCAUCCUGGACCGGCAUUGACGCUGAGGCGCGAAAGCCAGGGGAGCAAACGGG